rnacentral:rRNA from 1 species
AGUCGAACGAUGAUGCCCAGCUUGCUGGGCGGAUUAGUGGCGAACGGGUGAGUAAUACGUGAGUAACCUGCCCUUGACUCUGGGAUAAGCCUGGGAAACUGGGUCUAAUACUGGAUACUACCGUCCACCGCAUGGUGGGUGGUGGAAAGGGUUUUACUGGUUUUGGAUGGGCUCACGGCCUAUCAGCUUGUUGGUGGGGUAAUGGCUCACCAAGGCGACGACGGGUAGCCGGCCUGAGAGGGUGACCGGCCACACUGGGACUGAGACACGGCCCAGACUCCUACGGGAGGCAGCAGUGGGGAAUAUUGCACAAUGGGCGGAAGCCUGAUGCAGCGACGCCGCGUGAGGGAUGACGGCCUUCGGGUUGUAAACCUCUUUCAGUAGGGAAGAAGCGAGAGUGACGGUACCUGCAGAAGAAGCGCCGGCUAACUACGUGCCAGCAGCCGCGGUAAUACGUAGGGCGCAAGCGUUGUCCGGAAUUAUUGGGCGUAAAGAGCUCGUAGGCGGUUUGUCGCGUCUGCUGUGAAAGCCCGGGGCUCAACCCCGGGUCUGCAGUGGGUACGGGCAGACUAGAGUGCAGUAGGGGAGACUGGAAUUCCUGGUGUAGCGGUGAAAUGCGCAGAUAUCAGGAGGAACACCGAUGGCGAAGGCAGGUCUCUGGGCUGUUACUGACGCUGAGGAGCGAAAGCAUGGGGAGCGAACAGGAUUAGAUACCCUGGUAGUCCAUGCCGUAAACGUUGGGCACUAGGUGUGGGGGACAUUCCACGUUUUCCGCGCCGUAGCUAACGCAUUAAGUGCCCCGCCUGGGGAGUACGGCCGCAAGGCUAAAACUCAAAGGAAUUGACGGGGGCCCGCACAAGCGGCGGAGCAUGCGGAUUAAUUCGAUGCAACGCGAAGAACCUUACCAAGGCUUGACAUUCACCGGACCGCCCCAGAGAUGGGGUUUCCCUUCGGGGCUGGUGGACAGGUGGUGCAUGGUUGUCGUCAGCUCGUGUCGUGAGAUGUUGGGUUAAGUCCCGCAACGAGCGCAACCCUCGUUCUAUGUUGCCAGCACGUGAUGGUGGGGACUCAUAGGAGACUGCCGGGGUCAACUCGGAGGAAGGUGGGGAUGACGUCAAAUCAUCAUGCCCCUUAUGUCUUGGGCUUCACGCAUGCUACAAUGGCCGGUACAAAGGGUUGCGAUACUGUGAGGUGGAGCUAAUCCCAAAAAGCCGGUCUCAGUUCGGAUUGAGGUCUGCAACUCGACCUCAUGAAGUCGGAGUCGCUAGUAAUCGCAGAUCAGCAACGCUGCGGUGAAUACGUUCCCGGGCCUUGUACACACCGCCCGUCAAGUCACGAAAGUUGGAACACCCGAAGCCGGUGGCCUAACCCCUUGGGGAGGGAGC